UCCCUGGUGGUCUAGUGGCUAAGACUCCACGCUCCCAUUGAAAGGGGCCCAGGUUUGAUUCCUAGUCAGGGAA
rnacentral:tRNA from 1 species